rnacentral:rRNA from 1 species
AGCGAACGCUGGCGGCAGGCCUAACACAUGCAAGUCGAACGAAGUCUUCGGACUUAGUGGCGGACGGGUGAGUAACACGUGGGAACGUACCUUUUGGUUCGGAACAACUCAGGGAAACUUGAGCUAAUACCGGAUGAGCCCUUAGGGGGAAAGAUUUAUCGCCGAAAGAGCGGCCCGCGUUAGAUUAGCUAGUUGGUGAGGUAAAGGCUCACCAAGGCUACGAUCUAUAGCUGGACUGAGAGGAUGAUCAGCCACACUGGGACUGAGACACGGCCCAGACUCCGACGGGAGGCAGCAGUGGGGAAUCUUGCGCAAUGGGCGAAAGCGUGACGCAGCCAUGCCGCGUGAAUGAUGAAGGUCUUAGGAUUGUAAAAUUCUUUUACCAGGGACGAUAAUGACGGUACCUGGAGAAAAAGCCCCGGCUAACUUCGUGCCAGCCGCCGCGGUAACAC